rnacentral:rRNA from 1 species
UACAGAGGUCCCAAGCGUUGUUCGGAUUCAUUGGGCGUAAAGGGUGCGUAGGCGGUUGCCUAAGUCAGGUGUGAAAUCUCGAGGCUCAACCUCGAAACUGCACUUGAUACUGGGUUACUUGAGUACUGGAGGGGAGACUGGAAUUUACGGUGUAGCAGUGAAAUGCGUAGAUAUCGUAAGGAAGACCAGUGGCGAAGGCGAGUCUCUGGACAGUUACUGACGCUGAGGCACGAAGGCUAGGGGAGCAAACGGG